AACGAACGCUGGCGGCAUGCCUAACACAUGCAAGUCGAACGAAGUCUUCGGACUUAGUGGCGCACGGGUGCGUAACGCGUGGGAAUCUGCCCUUGGGUGCGGAAUAACUUCUCGAAAGGGAUGCUAAAUACCGCAUAAUGUCGUAAGACCAAAGAUUUAUCGCCCAAGGAUGAGCCCGCGUAAGAUUAGCUAGUUGGUGGGGUAAAAAGCCUACCAAGGCGACGAUCUUUAGCUGGUCUGAGAGGAUGAUCAGCCACACUGGGACUGAGACACGGCCCAGACUCCUACGGGAGGCAGCAGUGGGGAAUAUUGGACAAUGGGCGAAAAGCCUGAUCCAGCAAAUGCCGCGUGAGUGAUGAAGGCCCAGGUUGUAAAGCUCUUUACCAGGGAUGAUAAUGACAGUACCUGGAG
rnacentral:rRNA from 1 species